UACGUAGGGUGCAGGCGUUAAUCGGAAUUACUGGGCGUAAAGCGUGCGUAGGCGGUUUGCCGUGUCCUGUGUGAAAGCCCCCGGGCUCAACCCUGGAAUGCCGGUGGAUACUGUCGGGCUCGAGUCCGGAAGAGGCGAGUGGAAUUCCUGGUGUAGCGGUGAAAUGCGCAGAUAUCAGGAGGAACACCGAUGGCGAAGGCAGGUCUCUGGGCUGACACUGACGCUCAUGCACGAAAGCGUGGGGAGCAAACAGG
rnacentral:rRNA from 1 species